rnacentral:tRNA from 1 species
GCCCCAGUGGCGCAAUUGGUUAGCGCGCGGUACUUAUAAUGCCGAGGUUGUGAGUUCGAUCCUCACCUGGGGCA